AUUGAACGCUGGCGGCAUGCCUUACACAUGCAAGUCGAACGGCAGCACGGGUGCUUGCACCUGGUGGCGAGUGGCGAACGGGUGAGUAAUACAUCGGAACGUACCUGAUCGUGGGGGAUAACGCAGCGAAAGUUGCGCGAAUACCGCAUACGCCCGGAGGGGGAAAGCGGGGGACCGUAAGGCCUCGCGCGAUUAGAGCGGCCGAUGUCUGAUUAGCUUGUUGGUGAGGUAAAAGCUCACCAAGGCGAUGAUCAGUAGCUGGUCUGAGAGGACGAUCAGCCACACUGGGACUGAGACACGGCCCAGACUCCUACGGGAGGCAGCAGUGGGGAAUUUUGGACAAUGGGGGCAACCCUGAUCCAGCAAUGCCGCGUGAGUGAAGAAGGCUUUCGGGUUGUAAAGCUCUUUUGUCAGGGAAGAAACAGCAGCUCUAACACAGUCUGCGAAUGACGGUACCUGAAGAAUAAGCACCGGCUAACUACGUGCCAGCAGCCGCGGUAA
rnacentral:rRNA from 1 species